AACCAACGUAUCAAUGAUCCCAGUUUCUUGGGGGGAGGCAAGUUUUCUCCACCUGCUUGCUUUAGAGUAGUAUUUCUCCGGGCUUGAUUUCACAAGUCAAUCACCUGGGAAUCUUGUUCUCCUACAGAUUCCAGUUUGGUUGGCCUGGGCUUGUGCUUCUGCAUUUGUGACAGGCUCCCAAGGAAAUGCAGAUGCCCCUGGUCCUCAGACGGCAAUUGAAUAGUUGGGAUUCAGACGUGGCCAUUUCUUGACUUUCACGCACUCGAUCCACCACGUUUCUUAAAAUAUUUACACUGUGGAAAUGACUAGAUCUCGUUUUGGAGGUCAGUAGGCCAAAAUCAGUCUCACUCGACUUAAAACAAGGUGAUGGCAGAGUUGUGUUCCUUCUGGACACUCUAGAGAAGAAUCCGUUCCUAGCCUUUUCCAGCUUCUACAAGCUCCUUGCAUUCCUCAGCUCGUGG
rnacentral:lncRNA from 1 species